GCCAGACUCCUACGGGAGGCAGCAGUGGGGGAUAUUGCACAAUGGGGGGAACCCUGAUGCAGCGACGCCGCGUGGGUGAAGGAGCGUUUCGGCGCGUAAAGCCCUAUCGGCAGGGAAGAAGGAGGACGGUACCUGACUAAGAAGCCCCGGCUAACUACGUGCCAGCAGCCGCGGUAAUACGUAGGGGGCAAGCGUUAUCCGGAUUUACUGGGUGUAAAGGGGGCGCAGACGGCAGCGCAAGCCAGGAGUGAAAGGCCGGGGCCCAACCCCGGGACUGCAUUGGAAACUGCGAGGCUGGAGUGUCGGAGAGGCAGGCGGAAUUCCUAGUGUAGCGGUGAAAUGCGUAGAUAUUAGGAGGAACACCAGUGGCGAAGGCGGCCUGCUGGACGAUGACUGACGCUGAGGCUCGAAAGCGUGGGGAGCAAACAGGAUUAGAUACCCUAGUA
rnacentral:rRNA from 1 species